AUACUUACCUGGCAGGAGAGAUACCAUGAUCACGAAGGUGGUUUUCCCAGGGCGAGGCUUAUCCAUUGCACUCCGGAUGUGCUGCCCCCUGCGAUUUCCCCAAAUGUGGGAAACUCGACUGCAUAAUUUGUGGUAGUGGGGGACUGCGUUCGCGCUUUCCCCUG
rnacentral:snRNA from 1 species